rfam:Streptomyces sp. RV15 genomic scaffold PRJNA299236_s056, whole genome shotgun sequence.
GCCGGUCCUCGGUAGUGGCCCCCGGGGGAUUGCGAGCCCCGGGUGCUUCGAUCGAAGACCGGC